rnacentral:rRNA from 1 species
GCCCUAGUUCUAACCCUAAACGAUGCUGACUAGCUAUUCGCCGUCGUUAUUCCCAUGACGUGGCGAGACGCCCCCGGGAAACCUCAAGUCUUUGAGUUCCGGGGGUAGUAUGGUUGCAAAACUGAAACUUAAAGGAAUUGACGGAAGGGCACCACCAGGAGUGGAGCCUGCGGCUUAAUUUGACUCAACACGGGAAACCUCACCAGGCCCGGACACCAGAAGGAUUGACAGAUUAAGAGCUCUUUCUCGAUUUGGUGGGUGGUGGUGCAUGGCCGUUCUUAGUUGGUGGAGUGAUUUGUCUGGUUAAUUCCGGUAACGAACGAGACUCUGGCCUACUAACUAGUGGAUGGGUGUCCUGGUAACGGGCCCCAUCCGAUAAUGUCUUCUUAGAGGGAUGAGCAGCGAGUAUAGCUGCAGGAGAUUGAGCAAUAACAGGUCU